rnacentral:rRNA from 1 species
GAUGAACGCUGGCGGCGUGCCUAAUACAUGCAAGUCGAGCGAACGGACGAGAAGCUUGCUUCUCUGAUGUUAGCGGCGGACGGGUGAGUAACACGUGGAUAACCUACCUAUAAGACUGGGAUAACUUCGGGAAACCGGAGCUAAUACCGGAUAAUAUUUUGAACCGCAUGGUUCAAAAGUAAAAGACGGUCUUGCUGUCACUUAUAGAUGGAUCCGCGCUGCAUUAGCUAGUUGGUAAGGUAACGGCUUACCAAGGCAACGAUGCAUAGCCGACCUGAGAGGGUGAUCGGCCACACUGGAACUGAGACACGGUCCAGACUCCUACGGGAGGCAGCAGUAGGGAAUCUUCCGCAAUGGGCGAAAGCCUGACGGAGCAACGCCGCGUGAGUGAUUAAGGUCUUCGGAUCGUAAAACUCUGUUAUUAGGGAAGAACAUAUGUGUAAGUAACUGUGCACAUCUUGACGGUACCUAAUCAGAAAGCCACGGCUAACUACGUG